rnacentral:rRNA from 1 species
GAUGAACGCUAGCUACAGGCUUAACACAUGCAAGUCGAGGGGAAACGACAUCGAAAGCUUGCUUUUGAUGGGCGUCGACCGGCGCACGGGUGAGUAACGCGUAUCCAACCUGCCCACCACUUGGGGAUAACCUUGCGAAAGUAAGACUAAUACCCAAUGAUAUCCCACGAAGACAUCUGAAUGGGAUUAAAGAUUUAUCGGUGAUGGAUGGGGAUGCGUCUGAUUAGCUUGUUGGCGGGGUAACGGCCCACCAAGGCAACGAUCAGUAGGGGUUCUGAGAGGAAGGUCCCCCACAUUGGAACUGAGACACGGUCCAAACUCCUACGGGAGGCAGCAGUGAGGAAGAUUGGGCAAUGGGCGAGAGCCUGAACCAGCCAAGUAGCGUGCAGGAAGACGGCCCUAUGGGUUGUAAACUGCUUUUAGAAGGGAAUAAAGUGGGUCACGUGUGACUUUUUGCAUGUACCUUAUGAAUAAGGACCGGCUAAUUCCGUG